UAGCGCGUGGCCUGUGAGUGGGUGCAUGUCAUGGCCGGUGCGUGGAGCACACGCGCCUCCGCCGUCGUCCACAACGGUGACGACAACGGUGCCGAUGACUUUUUCAAUGAACUUUAGGGCGAGGUCCCUUUUUGGGAUUUUCGACUUCCGAAUUCGAAUCUACUGUCCGUUUUUUUUUUUGCAAUUCCAUCAUUUUAGUAGAGUUUUAUUAAAUGUACUCUCUUUAUGUUUAGGUGUAACGGUUAGAAGUUAUCCAAUCCUUCUUAGUUCAAGCGGCUUUCCGGUAAUGGAAUACUUGUGAGUGAAGCCCUUCUAAACUUGCAUGUUUUUAUAAAAUAUUAGGCUUGCAUGCAUUGCAUAUUUCUUGAAAUGAGCAUGUUUUCUAUUAUGUUUUAUGGAUUCUAUAUUCAUGUUUUUUUUUAUGAAUUUAUGAUUUAUAUAAAUUGCUUUUACGAAAUAUUUAGAAUUUAUCGAACUACGUUUUAUGAAAGGUUAUGAAUUAUUGGAUUCUCACAUAUGAAAUGAUUCUUGUAUAUGAAAUUCUAUGGCUUUCGAAUAGGAUUACUUUACGAAUUUAUGAUUUAUUAUUAUGGAUUUAUGAGAUGAGACUUUGAGCUUUUGAGCUUCAGAUUUGAUGUGGGAUUUUGAGAUAUGCUUUCGAUACGUAUCUAGUGGGCUAUCAUACAACACAUCCACACAACAUGGGUAUUAGACAUCUAUGGCCAUAGGACACAGUUAAGCAUAUAUAUAUGUUAUAUCCUCUUCUCCGGCAUAACCGAGAGUCGUACAGCUUCACCUUUAGGUGAUGAACCAUGGUUUCUUCAUUGGCGUAACCCAAUGUCGUUCAGCUUCACCUUCGGGUAAUGGACAGGUACUGCAUUCGGGCGAAUAAGGAGUGAGAUAUUGAUGAUAUACCCCCAGCUUCACUAGCCUGAGGCUAGUGUCGGUGUGUGAUGUUAUAUAUCAUAUUCUCCGGCGUAGCCCGAAGUCGUACAACUUCACUUUUGAGUGAUGGACCAUAGUUUCUUCACUAGCGUAACCCAAUGUCGUAUAGCUUCACCUUCGGAUGAUGGAUAGGUAUUGCCUUCGGGCGAAUAAGGAGUUGAUGAUAUUGAUGAUAUUCCCCCAGCUUCACUAGCCCAGGGCUAGUGUCGGUGUGUGAUGUUAUAUAUCCUUUUUUCCGACAUAACCUAGAGUCGUACAACUUCACCUUCGGGUAAUGGACCAUGGCUUCUUCAUUGGAGUAACCCAAUGUCAUACAGCUUCACCUUCGGGUGAUGGAUAAGGACUACCUUCGGGCGACUAUGAUACCCCUAUAGAGUACAAUGUGAUGUAUUUUACAGAUUUGCCUUCGGGCGGUGAUAUUCAUUUCUGAGCACAGUUUUAUACGUACUGAUUUUAUGAACGUGUGCAUGGCAUGUAGAGUUUUCGGAAAAACUUAUAUGUAGUAUUAUAUAUAUACGAGUUUUCAAAUCAGGGGGUUAUUAUGUUCAGAAAUAAAAUGGUUUUCCCAUUAUUAGUAUUAUUAUAAAUUAUGGUCCACUCACCUUUUCUGUUUUUAUGCCCCCUCAGGACAUAGUGAUGAAGAGUACAACCCAAGCUUCGAGGCAUUUCCCUAUCAGUGACCUUGCAUCUCUCCACUUGAGUAUGGAUUCCUUUUACAAUCAUUGUUACUUGUUGUUUUACUUUGCUCUGGCACUUUCGUUUAGUAGUAUACUCUGGACAUAUUCAUGAUCGUUGAAUACCUUGUUUUGUUCAUGCUUAAAUAAAAUAUAUUGUUAUUAUUGCUUCUUAAAGUUGCGUAUUCUUUAUGAAUGUUGUUUCUUGCAUAAUUUUUAUGUUGCUUGUUCCUUCAUGUUCUCACUGAUUCACACACUCAUGGCUUUCGUCACCCUUCAGUGUCGGCCAGCACGUGCCAUCCAGGUAUCAUUUGAAUAUCUGGGUUGGGGCAUGUCAUCAUUACACUUUAUGGCAUCGUAACCUUCCAGGUGUCGGCCAACACAUUGCGAUUCGAGUGUUCAAGUGGACAUUUCGGGUCGGGGUGUGUCGUUAGUGGUGUCAGUUAUGAGCGACACAAAUCUGCUUUUUUAUAUUAUCCGAAGGGAGUUUGAAUGUCACUUUUAUCUAACAUUACUGUCCUUUUUUUAUUUCUAAACGCUUUCCUUUUUCUUGGCGGAUUAAGGGAACUAACCGACAGCAAAAGCCUUUUCGUGACGAUAUCAAUGUUGUCGGUUCUUCUAUCCGCCAUUACAUGAGUUUCUGUCGGAUUUUUCCUUAAUAUCCGACAGGAAUGGGUUUUUCUUGUUGUUUUUUUAAAUGACACUAUUGGGUACUUUUGGGGUGCGUUUGUUGUACCGGACUAUCUCGGACUGGACUAAUUUUAGGGACUAAGUUAGACUGGCUUAGACUAGACUAAGCUGGAUUGAUUUAGUGAUGUGUUUGGUGCAGUGUCAGACUAAAAAACAGGAUAACUAAUAACUAUAAUAUUAUAUUAUAUAAUACACAUCUAAUAAUAUUUCAU
rnacentral:lncRNA from 1 species